GGGUCUGUGGCCUAGCCAGGAUAGGGCGUCGGCCUCCGGAGCCGAUAGUCGAGGGUUCAAAUCCCUCCAGACCCGCCA
rnacentral:tRNA from 1 species